rnacentral:rRNA from 1 species
GACGUAGGGCGCGAGCGUUGUCCGGAAUUAUUGGGCGUAAAGAGCUCGUAGGCGGUUAGUCGCGUCUGCUGUGAAAACUCGGGGCUUAACUCCGGGCCUGCAGUGGGUACGGGCUGACUAGAGUGCGGUAGGGGAGACUGGAAUUCCUGGUGUAGCGGUGAAAUGCGCAGAUAUCAGGAGGAACACCGGUGGCGAAGGCGGGUCUCUGGGCCGUAACUGACGCUGAGGAGCGAAAGCGUGGGGAGCGAACAGG